AAGGAUAAUAGAGGAAGUAACAGAACAGUUAUAUGUAGAGGAUAAUAGAGGAAGUAACAGAACAGUUAUUUGUAGAGGGGGCUAGAGGAAGUAACAGAACAGUUAUAUGUAGAGGGGGCUAGAGGAAGUAUCAAAACAGCUAUAUGUAGAGGGGGCUAGAGGAAGUAACAGAACAGUUAUAUGUUGAGGGGGCUAGAGGAAGUAUCAAAACAGUUAUGUGUAGAGGGGGCUAGAGGAAGUAACAGAACAGUUAUAUGUAGAGGAUAAUAGAGGAAGUAACAGAACAGUUAUAUGUAGAGGGUGCUAGAGGAAGUAACAGAACAGUUAUAUGUAGAGGGUGCUAGAGGAAGUAACAGAACAGUUAUAUGUAGAGGAUGAUAGAGGAAGUAACAGAACAGUUAUAUGUAGAGUAUAAUAGAGGAAGUAACAGAACAGUUAUAUGUAGAGGGUGCUAGAGGAAGUAACAGAACAGUUAUAUGUAGAGGGGGCUAGAGGAAGUAUCAAAACUGUUAUAUGUAGAGGGGGCUAGAGGAAGUAACAGAACUGUUAUAUGUAGAGGAUAAUAGAGGAAGUAACAGAACAGUUAUAUGUAGAGGAUAAUAGAGGAAGUAACAGAACAGUUAUAUGUAGAGGGUGCUAGAGGAAGUAACAGAACAGUUAUAUGUAGAGGGUGCCAGAGGAAGUUACAGAACAGUUAUAUGUAGAGGAUAAUAGAGGAAGUAACAGAACUGUUAUAUGUAGAGGAUGCUAGAGGAAGUAACAGAACAUUUAUACGUAGAGGGUGCUAGAGGAAGUAACAGAACAGUUAUAUGUAGAGGGGGCUAGAGGAAGUAUCAAAACAGUUAUAUGUAGAGGGUGCUAGAGGAAGUAACAGAACAGUUAUAUGUAGAGGAUGAUAGAGGAAGUAACAGAACAGUUAUAUGUAGAGUAUAAUAGAGGAAGUAACAGAACAGUUAUAUGUAGAGGGUGCUAGAGGAAGUAACAGAACAGUUAUAUGUAGAGGGGGCUAGAGGAAGUAUCAAAACUGUUAUAUGUAGAGGGGGCUAGAGGAAGUAACAGAACUGUUAUAUGUAGAGGAUAAUAGAGGAAGUAACAGAACAGUUAUAUGUAGAGGAUAAUAGAGGAAGUAACAGAACAGUUAUAUGUAGAGGGUGCUAGAGGAAGUAACAGAACAGUUAUAUGUAGAGGGUGCCAGAGGAAGUUACAGAACAGUUAUAUGUAGAGGAUAAUAGAGGAAGUAACAGAACUGUUAUAUGUAGAGGAUAAUAGAGGAAGUAACAGAACAGUUAUAUGUAGAGGAUGCUAGAGGAAGUAACAGAACAUUUAUACGUAGAGGGUGCUAGAGGAAGUAACAGAACAGUUAUAUGUAGAGGGGGCUAGAGGAAGUAUCAAAACAGUUAUAUGUAGAGGGGGCUAGAGGAAGUAACAGAACAGUUAUAUGUUGAGGGGGCUAGAGGAAGUAACAGAACAGUUAUAUGUAGAGGGGGCUAGAGGAAGUAACAGAACAGUUAUAUGUAGAGGAUAAUAGAGGAAGUAACAGAACCGUUAUAUGUAGAGGAUAAUAGAGGAAGUAACAGAACAGUAAUAUGUAGAGGAUAAUAGAGGAAGUAACAGAACAGUUAUAUGUAGAGGAUAAUAGAGGGAGUAACAGAACAGUUAUAUGUAGAGGAUAAUAGAGGAAGUAACAGAACAGUUAUAUGUAGAGGGGGCUAGAGGAAGUAACAGAACAGUUAUAUGUAGAGGAUAAUAGAGGAAGUAACAGAACAGUUAUUUGUAGAGGGGGCUAGAGGAAGUAACAGAACAGUUAUAUGUAGAGGGGGCUAGAGGAAGUAUCAAAACAGUUAUAUGUAGAGGGGGCUAGAGGAAGUAACAGAACAGUUAUAUGUUGAGGGGGCUAGAGGAAGUAUCAAAACAGUUAUGUGUAGAGGGGGCUAGAGGAAGUAACAGAACAGUUAUAUGUAGAGGUUAAUAGAGGAAGUAACAGAACAGUUAUAUGUAGAGGGUGCUAGAGGAAGUAACAGAACAGUUAUAUGUAGAGGGUGCUAGAGGAAGUAACAGAACAGUUAUAUGUAGAGGGUGCUAGAGGAAGUAACAUAACAGUUAUAUGUAGAGGGUGCUAGAGGAAGUUACAGAACAGGUAUAUGAAGAGGAUGCUAGAGGAAGUAACAGAACAGUUAUAUGUAGAGGAUAAUAGAGGAAGUAACAGAACAGUUAUAUGUAGAGGAUAAUAGAGGAAGUAACAGAACAGUUAUAUGUUGAGGGUGCUAGAGGAAGUAACAUAACAGUUAUAUGUAGAGGCUAAUAGAGGAAGUAACAGAACAGUUAUAUGUAGAGGGUGCUAGAGGAAGUAACAGAACAGUUAUAUGUAGAGGGGGCUAGAGGAAGUAACAGAACAGUUAUAUGUAGAGGAUAAAAGAGGAAGUAACAGAACAGUUAUAUGUAGAGGAUAAUAGAGGGAGUAACUGAACAGUUAUAUCUAGACAAUAAUAGAGGAAGUAACAGAACCGUUAUAUGUAGAGGAUAAUAGAGGAAGUAACAGAACAGUUAUAUGUAGAGGGGGCUAGAGGAAGUAACAGAACAGUUAUAUGUAGAGGAUAAUAGAGGCAGUAACAGAACAGUUAUAUGUAGAGGGGUCUAGAGGAAGUUACAGAACAGUUAUAUGUAGAGGGGGCUAGAGGAAGUAACAGAACAGUUAUAUGUAGAGGAUAAUAAAGGAGGUAACAGAACAGUUAUAUGUAGAGGGUGCUAGAGGAAGUAACAUAACAGUUAUAUGUAGAGGGUGCUAGAGGAAGUUACAGAACAGGUAUAUGUAGAGGGGGCUAGAGGAAGUAACAGAACAGUUAUAUGUAGAGGAUAAUAGAGGAAGUAACAGAACAGUUAUAUGUAGAGGUUGCUAGAGGAAGUAACAGACAGUUAUAUGUAGAGGAUAUUAGAGGAAGUAACAGAACAGUUAUAUGUAGAGGGUGCUAGAGGAAGUAACAGAACAGUUAUAUGUAGAGGAUAAUAGAGGAAGUAACAGAACAG
rnacentral:lncRNA from 1 species